UGGGGAAUUUUGGGCAAUGGGGGAAACCCUGACCCAGCAACGCCGCGUGAAGGAUGAAGUAUUUCGGUAUGUAAACUUCGAAAGAAUAGGAAGAAUAAAUGACGGUACUAUUUAUAAGGUCCGGCUAACUACGUGCCAGCAGCCGCGGUAAUACGUAGGGACCAAGCGUUGUUCGGAUUUACUGGGCGUAAAGGGCGCGUAGGCGGCAUGACAAGUCACUUGUGAAAUCUCUGGGCUUAACCCAGAACGGCCAAGUGAUACUGUCGCGCUAGAGUGCAGAAGGGGCAAUCGGAAUUCUUGGUGUAGCGGUGAAAUGCGUAGAUAUCAAGAGGAACACCUGAGGUGAAGACGGGUUGCUGGGCUGACACUGACGCUGAGGCGCGAAAGCCAGGGGAGCAAACGGGGAUUAGAUACCCUUGUAGUCCCUGAGCGGGCUGGCAAGGCGCAU
rnacentral:rRNA from 1 species